rnacentral:rRNA from 1 species
UACGGAGGGGGCGAGCGUUGUUCGGAUUUACUGGGCGUAAAGGGUUCGUAGGCGGUUUUGUAAGUUAGAUGUGAAAGCCCGGGGCUCAACCCCGGAACUGCAUUUAAAACUGCAAGACUAGAAUCACGGAGAGGAUAGCGGAAUUUCCAGUGUAGAGGUGAAAUUCGUAGAUAUUGGAAGGAACACCAGAGGCGAAGGCG